rnacentral:ncRNA from 1 species
AGAAGCCGUGUGAAGGGAAACCUUCAGGCACGGUUUUGAAGACGAGUAUAAGUGGUGACACUUAUAUUUAGUUCAAC